UGAACUUCCAGUUCACUGUCUUUCACUGGACAUGUGAGGACUGUGUGUUAGCAGUGGUACACAGCCUUACUGCCCAGAGACACAGAGAGGUAGGCGCAUCUCUGCUGGGAAAAUGAAAGAAAAACAUUCUGAUGCUUACAAGUGCCAAUGAAAAGAGAGAAAGGGAAUGCAAGAAAGCAAGCCGCCAGGUCUGGAACUAGAACUGUGGUCACCAUGUGGGUUCCCAACACCUUAACUGCCACACCGCCUGCCCUUUUUGCUAACUGAGAUGCUGCAGUCUGUAGGGAACCAUGCCUACAGAGAAGUCCAGCCACCUGCCUGAGCGCCUGAGCGCCCCUCAAGUCACACUUGAACAGCGACUGCCCGGGUCACAGCCACAGAACUCCUAACAGCAUCUGGAGCUCCGCAGACCCGAGGAGCUCACGUUCCGGUCAGCGAUGUUAAAGUCCUCCAUCCAACCUGGACAUCCAGCAGGGCCCAGAAAGCGGCCGGGGGCUGAGCGUUCCCUCCCACACCUGAAACCAGAGCACCCUGGAGGCCUGCAGACUAAAUCACUCUCGCUUUUCAGUGGAAGCCCAUGAUUUCAAGUCCAUGUAACCCAUCAGUGGCCUUUUGGUAAUUAUCCUAUCUUUUCUUUUCUCUUCU